AGCACCAAAUUCUGCUGGCCGUGACAGGAUUGCAAAGGCACCAUAUUCUGCUGGCCGUGACAGGGCUAGAAGGCCCCCUCCCAGAAGUUAUCAGCGGCCAGCCCCAUAUUAUCCAAGAGGCCUUUCUUAUCCAGCAAGGGAUCCUUAUGUAGAACCACUCAGGCCUGUUGCACAGUAUCCCCUACCGGCUCCUGUUCCGUAUGGUACUUAUGGACCUCCUGAGGACUAUUAUUACAGUGCUGAGCCCCGUGAGCCUGUAGAAUAUCGUGAUCCCUAUCUGUACCGAGAGCCUGCGCCCUACCCUGUUUCAUUCCGCGAAGCUGGUUACCCCUCAAGCGGGUCUUAUGCUCCUCCACCUCAGUAUCGCUACUAGGAUCAGGAUUUAGCAGAAUCAGAUAACUCUGUUACUUUGAGCUUUAGUUGUGUAACUUUUUAAUUUCUGUCUUCUGCACUAGCUACCUAGAAUCGUAUGACUUGUCUCUGUGGAACUGCAUCAACAUUUGUCAAACCA
rnacentral:misc_RNA from 1 species